GCUUUAAUAGUAUAUUUAUUACUUAGGUCUUGUAAACCUAGAAAGGGAUAUAAAAUCCCUUAGAGCA
rnacentral:tRNA from 1 species